rnacentral:rRNA from 1 species
CUCCGAAUGCCGGUAAGUGAGAGCGCAGCAGUGAGACUGUGGGGGAUAAGCUUCAUAGUCGAGAGGGAAACAGCCCAGAACGCCAACUAAGGCCCCUAAGCGUGUGCUAAGUGGAAAAGGAUGUGGAGUUGCGAAGACAACCAGGAGGUUGGCUCAGAAGCAGCCAUCCUUGAAAGAGUGCGUAAUAGCUCACUGGUCGAGUGAUCCUGCGCCGACAAUGUAGCGGGGCUCAAGUACACCGCCGAAGCCGCGGCACUUACACAAUACAUUCACUCAUCCCUGCGGGGGUGUGUGUAGUGGUGUGGGUGGGUAGGGGAGCGUCGUGCAGCCAGGGAAGCGUCGGAGUGAUCCAGGCGUGGAGGCUGUGCGAGUGAGAAUGCAGGCAUGAGUAGCGAAAGACGAGUGAGAAACUCGUCCGCCGAAUGAUCAAGGGUUCCUGGGCUAGGUUAAUCCGCCCAGGGUUAGUCGGGACCUAAGGCGAGGCCGACAGGCGUAGUCGAUGGACAACGGGUUGAUAUUCCCGUACCCGUGAUAUCGCGCCAAUGGCGAAUCAGAGAUACUAACCAUCCUGAAGCCGUUUGUGAGCCUUCGGGCUUGUGGGCGGGGGAUGCAUGGGACCUGAUCUGGUAGUAGUCAAGCGAUGGGGUGACGCAGGAAGGUAGUGGGGCCAGUGAGUGGUAGUACUGGUGUAAGCCUGUAGGGCGAGGCAUAGGUAAAUCCGUGUCUCAUUUAAGCCUGAGAGGUGAUGCGUAGCCGUUGAGGCGAACUUCAUGAUCCUAUGCUGCCGAGAAAAGCCUCUAGCGAGUGGUGUCAUGGCCCGUACCCCAAACCGACACAGGUGAUCAGGUAGAGAAUACUAAGGCGAUCGAGAUAACUGUGGUUAAGGAACUCGGCAAAUUACCCCCGUAACUUCGGGAGAAGGGGGACCAUGGCUGGUGACGGGGCUUGCCCCCUGAGCUGGUUGUGGUCGCAGAGACCAGAGAGAAGCGACUGUUUACUAAAAAUACAGGUCCGUGCGAAGUCGUAAGACGAUGUAUACGGACUGACGCCUGCCCGGUGCUGGAAGGUUAAGAGGACCGGUUAGCACUUCGGUGCGAAGCUGAGAAUUUAAGCCCCAGUAAACGGCGGUGGUAACUAUAACCAUCCUAAGGUAGCGAAAUUCCUUGUCGGGUAAGUUCCGACCUGCACGAAUGGAGUAACGACUUCCCCGCUGUCUCAACCAUGAACUCGGCGAAAUUGCAUUACGAGUAAAGAUGCUCGUUACGCGCAGCAGGACGGAAAGACCCCGAGACCUU